GCCGGGCAUGGUGGGUCAUACCUGUAAUCCUAGCACUUUGGGAGGCCGAGGCAGGAGGAUUGCUUAAGGCCAGGAGUUCAAGACCAGCCUGGGCAAUAGCAAGACCCCAUCUCUACAGAAAUUAAGAAAAAUUAGCCAUGUGUGGCACACAUGCCUGUAGUCUCAGCUACUUGGGAGGCUGAUGCAGGAGGAUUGUGUAAGCCUGGGAGUUUGAGGUUGCGGUGAGCUAUGAUGCUAUGAUGAUGCCACUGUGCUCUAGCCUGGGCAAAAGAGAGAGACCCUGUUUUA
ensembl:misc_RNA Metazoa_SRP Metazoan signal recognition particle RNA